AUUGAACGCUGGCGGCAUGCCUUACACAUGCAAGUCGAACGGCAGCACGGGGGCAACCCUGGUGGCGAGUGGCGAACGGGUGAGUAAUACAUCGGAACGUAUCCUGUUGUGGGGGAUAAC
rnacentral:rRNA from 1 species